GGGAAACUGCCCGAUGGAGGGGGAUAACUACUGGAAACGGUAGCUAAUACCGCAUAACGUCGCAAGACCAAAGUGGGGGACCUUCGGGCCUCACACCAUCGGAUGUGCCCAGGUGGGAUUAGCUAGUAGGUGGGGUAAUGGCUCACCUAGGCGACGAUCCCUAGCUGGUCUGAGAGGAUGACCAGCCACACUGGAACUGAGACACGGUCCAGACUCCUACGGGAGGCAGCAGUGGGGAAUAUUGCACAAUGGGCGCAAGCCUGAUGCGGCCAUGCCGCGUGUAUGAAGAAGGCCUUCGGGUUGUAAAGUACUUUCAGCGGGGAGGAAGGCGGUGAAGUUAAUAGCUUCACCGAUUGACGUUACCCGCAGAAGAAGCACCGGCUAACUCCGUGCCAGCAGCCGCGGUAAUACGGAGGGUGCAAGCGUUAAUCGGAAUUACUGGGCGUAAAGCGCACGCAGGCGGUCUGUCAAGUCGGAUGUGAAAUCCCCGGGCUUAACCUGGGAACUGCAUUCGAAACUGGCAGGCUAGAGUCUUGUAGAGGGGGGUAGAAUUCCAGGU
rnacentral:rRNA from 1 species